CUGAAGUGUUUUCUGCCCCGACUCCACCCGCAUGACGUACGCGCUUGGAAAGUAACCCACUCGGCCGCCCAAACACUUUCCCUUCCACCAAUCCUUCUCCGAUUUGUCGAUUACCGUCACUUUGUAACCAGCUCUGUGACAUACAAUUAGAUUUCAAGUGUUAUUGAAAGUGUUAUUUCUAAAAGGUUCUAAUAAUGCCUUCAAUUUAAUCAUUUUAUUUAACGUAAUUAAAAAAUGAAGAAGGAAGAAGAAAGUUUUGAAAAAAUAUUUCAAAAAGAAAAAAAAAAAGAAAGAAUCGAUCCUUUUCUAAUUCUAGAUACUCGUCGAAUGAUUACUUCAAGUCUAAUUCAUCUCGAUGCCGCGCCUCGAAGUUAUAAAGCACCACAUAGAGAUUGUUGGGAGCUCCAUACUGGACAUCCUGAUGGCUCCUCUGAUGUGUUUAUGAACGUUGUGGCCCUGGCCUGGACUGCAUGGCGCUGCAAUCGAAUCAUCCAAAUUACGAAUAAUACCCUCCGGGGAAUCCAAGCUGAGACUCUUCAUUCUUAGAUUCAGCCUCUCGCGUCUACGUUGUGGACUAUGCGGCGCUUCAUGUUCCAUAAUGAGCGGAUUAUAAGAUUCUGCUUCAAGAUAGAGAGGAAUUGGUGCUGUGCCUUACCAGAGGUGGACGAGGAACAAGGGUGGGAGGAGGCCCUCGCUGACGAAGGUGCUGGAGGAUGAUCUGCUGUGGGAGGCGUAGGUGACUGGACUUUACGAUGAAAGCUGGCUUCCAAAGUGGGUCUGGACAGCUGCUGUUGGAGGACCGCGGCCAAGUCUAAGUGAGCUUCUGCAUCCGAUUGUACCUGGCGCAGUAAACUUUCCCAAACUCGGCGCAUUCC